CUUCCUCAACCGUUCACACGACUUUACCUUUUAAACAGAAUAUUAUUUGAGUGACCAAGUAUAAUUGACAAUAAUUUAUCCAGUUUUUAUCAAUUGAUAACCAGUCGCGAGUUAGUUCGUUUCAUAGUUAUGUGUUCGAUGUUGUGAGUGAUUCGAUUCUGUGAGUGAUUAGUGAGUUUGAUGUUGUGAGUGAUUAAUGUGGUGUUGUAAUGAUCGUUCCAAAAUGUUGAGAAGAGUUUUGGAUCGUCAGAAUGAGCGUCGAAGAGCGUUGCAGAAUGAGGCGAUCGAGGGAACGAGUACUCCACGACGUGGAAGCUACAUAGACCUCCCUAGAAUUCGGUUGGUGGAUAAGCAGUCGACGAAAGUAGAACCAGUACCGGUCUACUCGCUGUCCUCGCUUCCUCAGAAGAGCUACCCCAUUGUUUCCCACAACUUUUACCCUGAUAGCAACUGCCAGGGUCAAGUAGACAGAUUCAUCCCGAACAGGCGAUGCCAGAACUUUGAUUUUUCGAGGCACCAUUUGAUGAGGAAAGAGACAUCGAUUGAGAUGGAUGCUUCUUCGGAUAAUUAUAUUGAUGUUAUCGGUCAGAUAAAUUCCUUGGAGUCCACGUGGAGGAAACGCCUCAUGAUGCGAGCGAUGCAGAGGCUUGAUGUUUUAUCGGGUGUUGGUAAUCAGAGGAUCUUGAAUAUUAGUGGAAAAAGUCGGAUUGAGGAGGUGUCUGUAGGCAGAAAACAUUGUCGAAGGAGAAAUAGUGUUGUUGAUGAGUAUGAGGACACUCUUUGGAAGGUUAAACCCAGGAGCAGGCCUCUACUUGGGGAACAUCGUCAAAAAAUUACCAUUCCAACUCAAUCGAGAUUGUGCCGUGGUUCCAUUGAUUGGAGUUCCAAGAAUUGUAUUGUGGCACCAGUCGACAUAAAUUUACAUUUUUUUGCGAUGGACGAGUCGGAACCGACGCAUAUCAGUAUUUCGGUGGCGUCUUCAUUUCCAGGCUCACGACAUGUCAAAUGUCUCAAGUGGAAUAAUGCUGGAAAUCAACUAGCCAUGUACUCGAAGAGCUACACAAUAUGUGUUUUCGAUGUGCCAUCCGCAAAAGUACUCUGGAGUGACACUUGUCUCUGCGAUGACUGUGAUAUUACUUGUAUAAAUUGGAGUAUAGAUGAUGAGGAGAUUGUCGUAGGAUGCACAUCUGGAGGGAUAUCCCUUUUUCGCACUCGGGAAUCAAAAUUAGAACAUCUAAUUGAACACAUACCAGCUCACAAUGGAGCUGUACUACACUUAGCAGUAUCCCCCAACAAUCGUUACCUGGCAACUUCCGGAAUCGACAGACUAGUUCAUAUCUACCUGUACCCAGCAAUGAUCAUCUACCUUGAAAUUGGUUACUACGAUGCAACCCAGGCAUUCGCCUGGCACCCCUGGGACUCGGGAACACUGUGCAUUGGUGGUGGAUACAACGAUGGCUCUCUGUCCCUUUGGGACAUGCAGAGGCAAGAGUCCAUUGGAUACAAACGAGUAGCCUUCUUGGGCCACGUGAAGAACAUGAAAUGGAACAAGAUCAGCGGAGAACUGGUCGUACAGUGGUACUACUGGGAGGGCGACAAACGUUUUGUCACUAUCCCUGUAUUGGCUAGUUGGGAUAGGAUUGUCGAUGUGGCACAGUGGAGUCCACGAUAUGGAACUCAUGCUUACAAUGUUGUCUGGAAUCCAGAUCAUACAAAACUAGGAGUUCAAGUAUCGAAUGCUCUAUUGAUCUGGGAUUUCUUCGAGUACCAGGAGUCAGCCUGGUUGCCUGAUAUCAGGGAAAAGAAGAAAGCUGUAUUCUUGCAGCAAGCCCAAAGUACAUUGAAUACCCUCAGCAUACGUUGAACGAUUCUCACCGUGCUCUUAUAAAAACAAACACCAGGUUAUUACACCGAGGAGGGAGAAUAAAAAGAUGAUGACUCUAACGACCGAUUACUCGAGUUAUAGUCAGUGGUACUUCAUCUGGUAUGAAUCAAAGUGAGUUUAUGGACCAAGAGGGAGAUGCAAUCACCAUGGAGAAUAAUUCUAAUAAUUUUAAUGACAUUAAUUGUCAUCGGUCUUUGAUUCUCGGAGCUUCUGCCAAUUCGUUAUUUACGAUUCAUGAUGAAGACUGGAAUUGAGUCUUUACAAUUUUAAAAAAUCCAUACUGUUCCAAUUUGGUGAGAAAAUGUUAAUAACCCUUCACUCAGACGUAAAUAUCCAGAUAUUUCCUUCUGUCUCGACUAGCUACACCAGAAAAAAGUCUAGUGGUAAAAAAUUUUCCGCAUCAAAAAUUUUCAUGGUUACAGUACUCCCAUUGACCAGCAAAUAACUCAGCAAAAAUAAUGUUUUCACCACAUGGAGGAAAAAAUAAAUUUUUACAGCACAUAUUUUCUCAUUCACGGAACGUUAAUUGGCCAAGUAAAUUUACGAGGCACCUCAGCCUCCGUUAAAUACAACUAAUUAUCGAUAGAUAUUAUCUCGAGUGUCAUUAAAUCAACAAAAACCUCAUGUUUCAAAAUAUGAAAAAUACACGAGUAACUGAAACGGGCCCUUGGUACAACAUAGACACGUUAUCCGUUGACGUUUAUCUUCGAUUUAUGAUUUUAGACAGGCCACGCCAAAAACACGUAAUAUAAUUCACCAAACAAUUUUCUCACAGCACUAUAAUUAUCGUAAUAAUCCUCAAGGUAGGAUACACACAUACACUAGCGCUAGUAGGAUGUCUCGGGCUACCACACUCUCGUUUUACAAAACGAGUCUAUUAAUUUAUCCUACAUGCCCCGACGUCACUCUAUCCAGACGCUUUUUCCAUCAUAGAAAAUUGCUUGGGCUUCACCCUGAAUAUUGAUUUAUCUACCAACUACUUAGAACAAUGUUUUGUGUAAAAAUAAAUUAAUGCAGGGAGGCUAAUAUUUCUGAAAUGCCGGGGGUGUAUUACCUUGUCUCAUUGAAAUCCGAUUUCAGUGGAUGCAAUUAGAAGUGAGUCAUAUUGAACCCUCGGGUACUUCAUACUCGUUAAGCUAUGCCUGGUAUCAUAUACUCUUCCUGGGUUAAAGGCGUUAAAGUUCUACCUUGUGUGUAUGUGGUGCAAUUUAGCAGCACGGGAGUACAUUCUUUGGUGGUAAAGAGACAGAAGUAAGACACAUAGUCCGUCCGGGGAUAAUAUAGCUUCUUGCUAUCUCAUGGCAUUCAUCAUGGCGACAGCCAACACCACCAUUCUCUCCUUGCACACAAAUUUCAUUUUUUUUUUUAUGGAUGGAACAGUAAAUAUUUCACCCUGAAUUGACCUUUCGAGUGAGAAAUUUGACGACUCCAAGAGUUAGUCGGGGUAUUGACACUAAUUUUUCCAUUUUUGGGGACAUUUUUAAGCCGAAUUCCUCAGCUGAAGGUGUUGUGUUCAAAGGGCGAUGCACGUGGCACUUAAGGGAGCCGAUUUUUGGAAAAUUUUUGACGAAGUACAGAGAACUUUGCACUGAUGGAAGAAUUCAGUUAUUACCGACUGAAUAUUUUUUUCUAACUCGCUUGCAACGUCCAAUGUAGCGUAGCUCAACUUAAUGACACAAAGGGGAAAGUAAUUAAUGAUCCACCACGGAAAUUCAUCCAUUAUUUUAAUUACGCGAUAAAGAACAAAGUAGUUACACCCACCCGAAGGUUACGCGCCACUGGUAAUUCUUUCUGAGCUAAAAAAAAAGGUGAAGCUAAUACACAGAGAAAUAAAUUCUCCUGAGAUUAAGUUUAAGAGUCCAGUGGAGUUAACUUGCGGAACCUUCGGCAUUUGACUGUGCGCGUCCCUUUAUGAUACCAAUAUAUUUUUACAGCGCCUGUAUUUGGCAUCAUCUCAGGGCGAAACACCGGCUCAAGAUGAAAGAGGAAAAAAAUUGUACCUAUAGUUCUCCAGUCUUCCACAUUUUGCGCUUGUGUAUUGGAAGAACUGCAAGAUCUUGGGUGAGAUAGAUUUUAAUGAUAGGUUUAGAGGUACUUAAAUACUGGGUAGAAAAUUGUGUGUGUUUUAUGCUGAAAACAAUCGGCGGAGACCAGAGGUGCGACAAUGUUCUCCAAAUAUGUCCCUACGAUAGGUUUAUUGUUUGGGAUAGUUACCACGGAACAGCGUGGCCAGAGAACAAUGGCCCUCCAAGUCAAUUUGUGAGUUUAGUCGGGUCUUUAGUGAACUCGUGUUUUAUUUUUUUCUUUCAUUAUUUUUCCGCUAGAUUAAUUUUUUUCUUCGUAUAAAAUACAAAAGGAGUAUCCACGUACUCGUUAUUAUGUGAAUCAUUAUAUCUCGAUUGAAAAAAUUUAUUCAGAUUUCUUGACCGCAGAGGUUCAUAUUCAUCGAGGUUCGAUAUCAAUUUUCAGAGGGAGAUCACUUUUACGUGAAAUUGGUUGCCAUUUGCAUGAGAAAAAAAAUAUACCACGUCAUGAACAAUAUCACAUUUUUUUUACAAUGAGGAAUAUUUCAUAUUCUCCACAAUAAACUUUUCUAUUAUUGCCCUAGAAUUUUUAUAACAAAAAUGUCUCUGUGUCGACAGUUCAGACUUCUCCCUGAAAUUUCCCAGGUAAUUAAAAAAAAAUUUCGAGACAUUUACUGCACGCAAAGCGCAUGAUUAAUUCAGCCAAUAAAUGAUACAAAUAAUUGAAUCAAUCCAAUCAUUCACAUUCGUAACGAACAUAAUACCGUGAUAAAUUAACAUCUCUGCCCUCGCAAUAUUCCCCAUAAAUCAUCUCAGAUUAAUGAUCCAAUAUGUACGUAAAUAGCGUCAUUAUACGACCUAUAAACCAUCAUUUUCCGUGCGUGAGAGACCGCAAAAUGAGCAAACAAAAUACUAAAAAAAAAAAUUUGAUAAAAGACGUGAAACUCACUAGAA